rnacentral:lncRNA from 1 species
AAGAUUGAAAAAAGAAGUCGGCCAAUAUCUAAGUGGAUUUUAGAAUCUAUCUUCUAUUUUGUAAGUUCAAUCUUUUUAAAAUACGUUUUUGCUUGUUACUAUCUUAGUUGUUGAAAAGUGUGUAAAAUUUGAGUGAAAAUCAAUGGUUUGAUUGUUAGUUAUGGAGGUUUUAAUUUUCCUUAGGAUUUAUUAAGAAUUUGUUUAAGAUUUAGGGUUGGUUUAAGAUCUAAAAUUUGAUUAGGAAUUUUUUAAGAUUUUUCUAGAAUUUUCUAAAAUUUAAUUAAGAUUUAUCUAUGAUUUUUUUAAGAUUUGAUUAGAAAUUAUCUACGAUUUAUUUAGGAUUUAAUUAGAAUUUAAUUAGGAUUUUUUUGUAUUUCUUUUAUCAUUUAUUUUAAAAUUUAAUUAGACUUAAUAAAUGAUUGAUUAUGUUUGUAAAGAUU